rnacentral:snoRNA from 14 species
CUCCACGGUGCUGAGUUCAGUUCAUGGAAACCUCUCUAUACUGUUAAUUCAACAUUGGGUCAUUGAAAUUGGCUGAGGAAA